rfam:Pristionchus pacificus strain PS312 contig803, whole genome shotgun sequence.
GCCUACUUGGCUUAGAGGCAAAGCGUCGCUCUCGUAAAGCGAAGAUCGUAGGUUCGAUUCCUGCAGUAGGCA